rnacentral:rRNA from 1 species
GACGAACGCUGGCGGCGUGCUUAACACAUGCAAGUCGAACGGAAAGGCCCUGCUUGUGUGGGGUUCUCGAGUGGCGAACGGGUGAGUAACACGUGAGUAACCUGCCCUUGACUUUGGGAUAACUUCAGGAAACUGGGGCUAAUACCAUAUAGGAUCUCCUGCUGCAUGGUAGGGGUUGGAAAGUUUCGGCGGUUGGGGAUGGACUCGCGGCUUAUCAGCUUGUUGGUGGGGUAGUGGCUUACCAAGGCUUUGACGGGUAGCCGGCAUGAGAGGGUGACCGGCCACAUUGGGACUGAGAGACGGACCAGAGUCGUAUGGGAGGCAGCAGUGGGGAAUAUUGCACAAUGGGAGGACGCCUGAUGAAGAAACGUCGCGUGCGGGAUGACGGUCUUCGGGGUGUAAACAGCUUUAGGCUGUGACGAAGCGUGAGUGACGGUAAUGGGUAAAGAAGCACCGGCUAACUACGUG